rnacentral:rRNA from 1 species
GAUGAACGCUGGCGGCGUGCCUAAUACAUGCAAGUCGAGCGAACAGACGAGGAGCUUGCUCCUCUGACGUUAGCGGCGGACGGGUGAGUAACACGUGGAUAACCUACCUAUAAGACUGGGAUAACUUCGGGAAACCGGAGCUAAUACCGGAUAAUAUAUUGAACCGCAUGGUUCAAUAGUGAAAGACGGUUUUGCUGUCACUUAUAGAAGGAUCCGCGCCGCAUUAGCUAGUUGGUAAGGUAACGGCUUACCAAGGCGACGAUGCGUAGCCGACCUGCGCGGGUGAUCGGCCACACUGGAACUGAGACACGGUCCAGACUCCUACGGGAGGCAGCAGUAGGGAAUCUUCCGCAAUGGGCGAAAGCCUGACGGAGCAACGCCGCGUGAGUGAUGAAGGUCUUCGGAUCGUAAAACUCUGUUAUUAGGGAAGAACAAAUGUGUAAGUAACUAUGCACGUCUUGACGGUACCUAAUCAGAAAGCCACGGCUAACUACGUG